CCUGAGCCUCACCCCGUCACAAGAACUUGACAGAACAAUCCAACCACAGACAAGACCAAGGAGCGUGUGGCUCGCUGUAUGAAAACAGGGCCUGGCCUAAUGUUGCAUGAAGACCAUGGUGAAUUCAUAUCGAUGGGAGAGCAGCCUCUGAAGCCCAGCAGCCAUGAUUUGUUCAUAAGCCACCGGGAACAAGAAGUCAGUCAGCUGACAGAAGCAGAACGAGCGUGUGCUGGAGAAAGCGACCGAAGCUGCAGGCCGUGUGAGGCUCCAGGGAUCCACUUGAGAUUGCAGGCAGAGGGACUGAUAAGGCAGCGAACCAUUCAUCAGGCCAAAUGAAGGUUGUAAAGUUGACUGGAGGAACCCGGGCAUCACCCCAGGAUGGCAGUGGUCCUCUCAGUGGAGACCUGUGACUAACACAUGUGCACAUGCAUACACACACACACACACACACACACAAAUAGCUCAAGAAU